rnacentral:miRNA from 1 species
UUGAAUUAGAGAAAUUAGGGU